CNNGUACACAUAAUUUAAUUAAAAUACUAGGCCGUGACCCU
rnacentral:tRNA from 1 species